rfam:Pan troglodytes isolate Yerkes chimp pedigree #C0471 (Clint) chromosome 15, whole genome shotgun sequence.
GCUGGGCAUGGUGGCUCAUGCCUGUAAUCCCAGCACUUUGGGAGGCUGAGGCAGGAGGAUCACCUGAGGUCAGGAGUUCAAGACCAACCUGGCCAACAUGGUGAAACCCCGUCUCUA